CAACAUGUGAAGACACUAGUAAGCCACCAGACACGUGGCAAGGCAUGAUGGGGUUCUGGAGAGCGCUAAGGCUUGGAGCUGUGUGGAAGGGCUGGAGUUCCUGGAGAGAGGUCUGGAGAGGCCACUGAUGAAGGUGCAGUCUCCUUUGCAGUUGAAGGCCCAGGAUUGAAGGGGUCAUGGAGAGAAGGCGAAGCCUGGCACCAUGUGGCAAGGUUAGAGUCCCUGAAGAGAGUCCAGGAGAAGCUACUGGUGAAGGAACAGGACACUGGGCAGUGUUCUCCACAGCCUCUGCGUCAUUUCUGGCCUCCAGGUUCCUGCCCUGACUACCGUCAGUGACUGAGUGUGACCUGACAGUUGUGAGCUGAAAUAAACCCUUUCCUCUCCCAGUUGCUUUUGGCCAUGGUGUUUUUUACAGCUGGAGAAACCUAACUAAAACAAGGUGCAUCAUACCAUGUCUAUUACAGGGUCUACAUGACUGAUUUAGCAAUACCACAGGGCACAUACUUUCCCCCAAACUUAAGAAGACACACAUGCCCAUGGGCUACUUUUCACAUCUUCAGUAUUCACACAAAAUGGUAGAUAAUAGUGUAACAGAAUCUACUUUGAUACAGUCAACAGUAUCAGUUUUCCAGGUACUGCAACCUUGGGGAUUGAACAAGAUACUAUGCUAAGUGCUUAGAGAGUAACUGACAUAUAGUUGCAUAGUAAAUGUCAGUUUCCUUUAAUGGAACAUACCCAGUGUCUCCCAGACCCAUUUCAAGUUCACCUGAUCUACAGCAUGUCCAUCUUUCCACCUCAGAUUGCUCUUUUGUGGUAGCUAAAGGAAAUUAUUCAGUUCACUUAAGCACUGCUAAGAACACACUCUCCAUAAAAGAUUGUGUUGGGUGUCCACGGAGCUAAA